AUUGAACGCUGGCGGCAGGCUUAACACAUGCAAGUCGAGCGGGGUGAUGGUGCUUGCACUAUCACUUAGCGGCGGACGGGUGAGUAAUGCUUAGGAAUCUGCCUAUUAGUGGGGGACAACAUCUCGAAAGGGAUGCUAAUACCGCAUACGUCCUACGGGAGAAAGCAGGGGAUCACUUGUGACCUUGCGCUAAUAGAUGAGCCUAAGUCGGAUUAGCUAGUUGGUGGGGUAAAGGCCUACCAAGGCGACGAUCUGUAGCGGGUCUGAGAGGAUGAUGCGCCACACUGGGACUGCGACACGGCCCAGACUCCUACGGGAGGCAGCAGUGGGGAAUAUUGGACAAUGGGGGGAACCCUGAUCCAGCCAUGCCGCGUGUGUGAAGAAGGCCUUAUGGUUGUAAAGCACUUUAAGCGAGGAGGAGGCUCUUUUGGUUAAUACCCAAGAUGAGUGGACGUUACUCGCAGAAUGAGCACCGGCUAGCUCUGUGCCAGCCGCCGCCGUAA
rnacentral:rRNA from 1 species